UACGUAGGGUGCAAGCGUUGUCCGGAAUUAUUGGGCGUAAAGAGCUCGUAGGCGGUCUGUCGCGUCGGCUGUGAAAACCCGGAGCUCAACUCCGGGCCCGCAGUCGAUACGGGCAAACUGGAGUACUGCAGGGGAGACUGGAAUUCCUGGUGUAGCGGUGAAAUGCGCAGAUAUCGAGAGGAACACCAGUGGCGAAGGCGAGUCCCUGGACAGGUCCUGACGCUGAGGCACGAAAGCUAGGGGAGCAAACAGG
rnacentral:rRNA from 1 species